UGAGGCAGGAGAAUUGCUUGAACCCAGGAGAUGGAGGUUGCAGUGAGCCGAGAUCCGGCCACUGCACUCCAGCCUGGGUGACAGAGCGAGACUCCGUCUC
rnacentral:miRNA from 1 species